AUGAUGCUCUCUUCACCCAUCACCUCGUUUUGUCAAGAUCAUGUUAUUUUCUUGCUUAUCCAUUUAACCGGAGUGUUGUGUAUUCAUUCGAGUUCUCUCAUCUUAUCAAGUUUUGCCUCCUUCCUCAACCAGAGAGCUGUCUUAAAUCUUUCUUACCCCUUGUGCCAUUCUUAUAAUAGUUUCGAAGGUAGUGUGUUGUUGAUCUCAUCAAGUAUCCUCUCAUCUUGUCAAGUUCAUGUUCAAUUUCUUCCAUUUACAGUCAAAAUUAUAUCAUUCUUAUUCAUUCUUAUCUUGUUUCAACCAGAAUGGUUUCAAUUCCUUCUUGUCCAUUGUGCUCGUCAUUCAUGUCUUUGCAACCUUCAAGUUCCCGUAAUGUUCCUUGUUCGUCUUUUCUAA
rnacentral:rRNA from 1 species